rnacentral:rRNA from 1 species
CCUACGGGAGGCAGCAGUGGGGAAUAUUGGACAGUGGGCCACAAGCCUGAUCCAGCAAUUCUGUGUGCACGAUGAAGGUUUUCGGAUCGUAAAGUGCUUUCAGCAGGGAAGAAAAAAAUGACGGUACCUGCAGAAGAAGCGACGGCUAAAUACGUGCCAGCAGCCGCGGUAAU